CUUUGAACGAUAGUCAACUCAAAACAUUUUUUUUGCUAAAAAAGAGCUAAUCCAGUACAGUAAUCUGUCCGGGGAAAAGAUCUCUGAGAUGGCCAUGCUGAUCGCUAUUAUUGAAACAAGGAACUUUAAACUUUAAAAUGUUGAUUGAAACACAGUGAUGAAAGCUCGAAGCUUAAAUUAGAAGGGAACAGAAUUUUGUCAUCCAAGAAACAUUUUUCUGAGUGUAAAUUUGUUUACACAGGGAACAUGGCUACAAGAAAAAAACUCGUUG